rnacentral:rRNA from 1 species
UACGGAGGGUGCAAGCGUUAUCCGGAUUCACUGGGUUUAAAGGGUGCGUAGGAGGGCAGGUAAGUCCGUGGUGAAAUCUCUGAGCUUAACUCAGAAACUGCCGUGGAUACUAUCUGUCUUGAAUACCGUGGAGAUGAGCGGAAUAUGUCAUGUAGCGGUGAAAUGCUUAGAUAUGACAUAGAACACCAAUUGCGAAGGCAGCUCGUUACACGAAUAUUGACUCUGAGGCACGAAAGCGUGGGGAUCAAACAGG